GUAUUAUGUCUCUAGCUUUGUUCUUUUUACUCAGGAUUUCUUUGGGUAUUCAAGGUCUUUUGUGGUUCCAUAUAAAUUUUAAGAUUGCUUUUCUUAUGUCUAUGAGGAAAGUCAUUGAUAUUUUGAAUCCCUUCUCUCAUUUUCCCUCCCUCCUUCCUGCCCCUCUCCUUCCUUUCUUCCCUUCUUCCCUUCCUUUCCUCAACUGCUCAAAAGUAUAUCUAGUGAGCACUGCACUUUCAAUUUCACUAAGAAAAGCAGCCAAAUAGAGCUAGCUAAGGUGGGCAGCAGUGGGUGGUAUCUGAGUUUUGGUGGCUGAAUCCAUGGGUCCCCUAUCUUCCUCUACUCCUGCGUUCCUGUCCUUCACCCUUUAUUGCUCCACAUCUCCAUGAUUGGUGAAAAAUGUCCUUUCCACACAGUUUUCAACAGGCAAAUGUGAUGGCAUCUAAUGCAGCUUAAUUCCUCUUAUGUCCUUGCUUUUCAUUUUCUCCUUUCGCUCUUCUUCCUCACUUUCUCUCCUCCAGGAUCCUUUUGGCUUGUCUCGAAGUUCCUUCUGAUUCCUUUGGGCUGUCAGCUCCGGGGGCCGUGUGAGGGGCAGGGGGAAGAUGUGUUUGGGUCCAUGCCUGCUAGCUGGCACGAGGAGCACGUUGUGGGGCACACGUAUGCAUGGAGCCAUUGGGAAAAGCUCUCACAUCUAACUGUGUUUCCCUAGACAAGUACAGACAAUCACCAGGAACUAAGGAACAAGAAGCAUCCAACCCUGCAUCUGUGGGUUUCCUGAGGUGACUCUCAAUUGUCAUAGGGGUGAAGAGUGAGUGAGGAAACCCUUGGAGCACUUGUUUGCUUCACAGACAUCCUGACCUCCUUUCAACUGUAAAGACUUAGUCAGAGGACGGCGGCUCCCUCAGCCUCAUUCUGCAGUUCCAAUGACACUUUUUACAAAGGCUCUGUACUUGUCUGAUUCUUAAAUAUUCCAGUUUUUGAACUUUGCUGCAGUAGUUGUAUUCGAAAUGGGUUAAUUGUCUCAUUUUCUUUUUAAUGCCUACUCUUUCAAGGCUCAAAUCUUGAAUAGGUCAAAAAGAGCAAGAGGAAAAUGUCAGAGAAUGGAGAAAGGCAAAUACAGAGAAGCAGUGUGAACAUCCACCCGGCGAGGUGACCUGAUGGUGCUGCUCCAUGUCAGAGACAGUAGUGUCUGGGAAGAGGGAGCCCUUUCCACAGGGUGGAGCAAAAGGCCUGGAGCUGACACCUGGCUCCUGGGCCCACUCGCCCACCACCUCGAGCAACUCCCUUCCUUAACGUCUGCCCGAGUGUUAAGGGCUGAGCACAUGACCUCACAGGAGGAUGUGAGGGGCAGCGGUAACAUGUGUCUAGCACUUUGUCCCUUAUAAGUCACUCACAAAUACUUAUAUCCUUAUUAUCUUCAUCCUUUUCUCUUGAGUUUUUCUCUAAUUCUUUAAGAAGGAAACACGUAGCCAGGAAGUGGAGAGCCUCUCACAUACUUGGGGAGUUUUCAUAUUUCCCCCAUCAGUUCCUUUUCUGGCCUGAGCUCAUGCUCCCUAAGAUCAGGGCUUGGGCUUUGUUUUAGUCUGUGUUGUUAUAAAAGAAUAUCCAACAGUGUGUAAUUUAUAAAGAAAAGAGGUUGACUUGGCUCAUGGUUCUGCAGGCUGUACAGGAACAAGCUUGGCUCCAGCAUCUGCUUGGCUUCUAGGGAGGCCUCAGGAAGCCUUUACUCAUGGGGGAAGGCAAAGGGGAGCAGGCAUUAUGUGAGAGGAAGGAAGAGAGAGGCAGGGGAGGUGCCAGGCCCUUUUAAACAAUCAGCGCCCAUGGGAAAUAACAGAGCCAGAACUCACUCAUUAACUUCAGAAUGGCACCAAGCCAGUCAUAAGGAUCCACCUCCAUGACCCAGACACCUGCCACCAGGCCACGCCCAGUAUCAGGGAUCACAUUUUAACGUGAGACUCGGAGGGGACAAACAUCCAAAUCACAUCUGGCCCCAUAACCUUUGGAGACCUCAGCUCUGGCGCUAGGGUGGUAGGUCCCCUAAGGGUUCGUGCUCUCUGAAGGAAUUGGGUUACAUUACCUGGGAGAGCUUUCUGGAGGAAGUGAGCUUUGCUUCUCACAGGUUUCUAUAAGGAGAAGGAUGGGCUGUUGGAAAGGGAGUGAGUGUGUGUCCAAGUGAGGGAAAGUGAGGUUCAGCAUCUUGGUGCUCUUGGCUCAGCUUCCCUUUCUAUGCCAUGCACAGUGCCUCCAGGAUGCCAGGGGGUGCCAUCCCUGACCUGUUCUGGGGUGGGUGUGCAAGAUGCGAAAUGGCUAAUUUCAGUUCACUGGUAACUCUAACAUUUGGAUAAUAAUUGGCCAUAGCAUUAGCUUUGGUUAUACAUCUCCAAAUGUGUUAUUACAUUAUAUAUAUAUAUAUAUAUAUAUAUAUAUAUAUAUAUAUAUGCACACACACACGUAUACAUAUAUACACACAUCUACACUGUAUUGAUAUGUUGAUAUAUUGAUGUUAUGAAUUAUUUUAAAGAGUAUUCUAUUGAUGUAGAGGAUAAUAUGAAAUUCAAUAUUUUCUGGCACUCUUUUUAAAUGAUACUUAGGCCAUCUGAUGAAAACAGAGCUCAGUAAAGAUUUCUUAUUGAUAAAUCAACAUUACAAAUGAAGACUAGUUUCAUUGCCAUGAUCAGUAAAUUAAGGGUCAUAAAUUAACUGUUGAGUUAUUUUCUUUGCACUAUUAAGCCUUCCACUCAAUCUUUCUACAGUCUUUCUUAUUUAGCAAACGGUGUUACUUGAUAGAAACCUCUGCUGUGAUUUUGUUUUUUGAAAUUUAAUAAGAAAGCUAUAUAAUACAAUUCUCGGGGGAAAACAAGCAAGGUAGGUUUUUCACGGUAACCUCCAAGCAGAGAAAUGGUUUCAGUGCGCAGUCCAGUGAAUUUCCUCCAUAGAGUGUGCUGGAAGAAGUCACCUGGAAGUGAUCACCAGAGUGAUAUUCAGUUUGACUCUCAUUGGUUUGUAUAUAAUUGAUUAUAUAUAAAAACAAAUGCCAGGGUGAGGGUGGGACUAGAGUCCCCCUUUCAGGCUCCUCCCCUUGCAUUUCCAUCUGGUCUUGCAGCAAGUUAACCACGGUCCUAUCUUCAGGUUCAAUUACUCCCUUUAAAAAAUAGGUUUUAACACCUAUGUAUCUCUCAACAUUAUAUUGUUUUAUUUUGAAAAAUUGAAUAAUAACCACACACCUAGCUUUGGAAGCAAGAGGCUUCAUGGCCAGGAUCAGAUAAAUGAUCCUCUUAGAGUGGGUGGGACCUCAGCAUCCCAGAGCGUGUGGAAGAGUGCCUGCCAGGAAGCCACCAGACAAGGUCCUAAGUACAUGCAUGGAAACACUGGGCACGAUGCUGACUGUGGCAUGGGCCAAAAAGUGACAUGGGGCAGAACUUCAGUGGGAGGAGGGGUGCUCUGUACGUUCAGCUUCUAAGCCCACUGUGGCCUUCCUCUUAGGGUUUCACAGAGCCAAGCAGAAAAGGAGCACAGGUGACCUUGGCAGGAAGGCAUGCAUGGGAGAGCAGGUCUGCACUCUGGGACACCAGCCUCAACAGAAUACGAGUUUUGAAUUUUUGAAUUGCUGUUAAAACUUUCAUCAUGAACACUGAAGUGAGUGAAAAGAGACUUUUGCAGUCAUUUUUUUGCUGGCUGCAGAUGACAGUGACACCCUGGGAGUUGAGAAAUGCUUGUAAGAUGGAAGGAGGCUGUGUCCCUGAAUGAUCACCUGGAAGAGAGCCACCUUAGCCAAUGAAACUCCUGCUAUGAAUGUUUGCUGAGCAAGAAAUAUACUUACUGCUUUAUAUGCCUUUGAAGCUAUAGGUUCAUAUUGUUACCACAAUUUAAAGUGCUAUAAUAAAAAGAGUUCAGGAAGCAGGCACAUGGAAGCAAUAAGAGCAACAAACAUUUACACAGGUAUUGUUUAAGUGCUUUUGUUUAACAAUCACUAUAGCUAUUAGUAGCCUCAUUGUAAUAAUGAGUAAAGCUUAGAGAUUAAAAAGUAUUUCUUAUAACACAGUUAUUUGAGAAGACUGCCCAGCUGAAAACUUGGCCUAUCUAAUUAUAAAGAAGAGCCAGUGCAUGUUCCUAAAAUACUAGGGUGAUAUGAUUAGAAUAAGCUGGCUUAUCACCACAGAUCCACUUAAGGGCAAGUUACAAAUAAGUCGAUGUUUACAAAAUCUUGAGAGUCCACUGAGGCAUAUUACCAUAUGUUUGCCAGGAAACUCUUUUUAAUUGUAUAGGUAAUAUUCACAUUAUAGAAACAUUUUUUAAUAAAUAGAAAAAAUCUUUUUCAUCAACCCACAAUCUUAAUAUAAUCCUUGUUUGUAUUUUGAUGUACUUCUUUCUAUACUAUUUUUCUUUUUCUUUUCUUUUUUUUUUUUUUUUUUUUUUUGAGGUUGAGUCUCACUCUAUUGUCCAGGUUGGAAUGCAGUGGCCUGAUCUCGGCUCACUGCAACCUCCAUCUCCCGCGUUCGGUGGAUUCUCAUGCCUCAGCCUCUGGAGUAGCUGGGAUUACAGGUGCCUGCCACCACACCCAGCUAAUUUUUGUAUUUUUAGUAGAGAUGGGGUUUCACCAUGUUGGCCAUGCUGGUCUCGAACACCUGACCUCAAAUGAUCUGCCUGCCUCGGCCUCCCAAAGUGCUGGGAUUACAGGCAUGAGCCACCGUGCCUGGCCCAUACUAUUUUCUAUACAUGUUUUUAACUAGGCUAUAAUCUUAUUGUAUGUACAAUUCUGAAUUUUGCUCUUUUCACCUGAGUAUAUCACAAUCAUUUUCCAUGUUAUUAAAAAGUUUUCAAAUGUUUUCAGUAUAAAAAAUCAUAUGUGCCAAUUAAAUAAAAUUGGAUGAGGAAAAAAGUAGGGAAAUUUUCUCUCUUGCAUCCAUCACUCAAGAAGCAACGAGAAUGUUCUGCUAUUUCACUCAAUAUUUUGUCAUAACAAUCUUCUAAUGCUUUACAUAAUUUUAAAAAGCUAACUUUUAUUAGUAAUUGUAAACCAAAUACAAAUUCUAUGCACGUAGCUGAAGAACACAGAAAAGCACAAAGGCAAAAUAAAAUAUAAUCUUACUACUUUAAGAUAAACAUUUACAGUAUUCUAUUAACAUAUAUGUAUAUGUGCAUACAUUUUAAAAGAUAGUGUAUCAUAUAUAUUGUUUUGUAGCAUUUUUUAAAAAAAAUUCAGUAUUCUAUCUGUAAUGGUUAAUUUCAUGUGUAACUUGGCUAGGCUAUAGUGCCCAGUUGUUUGGUCAAACACUAAAUGUUGCUGUGAAGGUAUCUUUUAGAAGUAAUACUUAGAAUCAGUUGACAUUAGGUAAAAGAGGUUACCUUUGAUGAUGUGGGUGUACCUUGUCCGAUUAGUUGAAAGCCUAAAGAACAAAUGCUGAGGUUUCCUGCCUGAGUUUCCAGCCUACCAUCUGGUAUUACAAAUUUUAAACUUAAGAUUGCAACAUCAAUCUUUGCCUGAGUUUCUAGCCUCCUGGCCUGUUCUACAAAUUUUGAACUUGCCAACUCUUACAAUCCCAUGAGCCAAUUCCUUAAAAUAAAUCUCUCUGUAUUUAUAUAUGCUUUGGAGAGCCACAGAAUGAUGUUACAAUAUCGUUAACAUUUUCUACCUCAGUAUUCUUUUACAAGAUUUUAAUGGCUUCCUAAUGAUUAAUUAAAUGGUAAUCAUAUUAAUAAGAUCAUAGUAUUCAAUUGAAUGAUGUUCCAUAGUUUACAUAUCCAUUCCUCUACUGUUAACACCUCUAACAAUUUUUUUAUUGUGGUAGAAUACAUAUUAACAAAAAAUUUGCCAUUAAGUGUACAAUUCAGAGGCAUUAUUUACAUUCAUUAUAUGGUGUAGCAUAAUCAUAAUCUAUUUCCAGAACUUUUGCAUCACCCUAAACAGAAACUGUAACCACCAGAUCAUAUACCAUAGUUGUUUUAAGUUGUUAAGUUUUGUAAUAUUCAUUAUUCCAAAUAGCCAUAGAUAACUGAUACCAAAGUUAGUACCAUGAGUAGGGUGCUACUGAAGAAAAUGUAAAGCAAGUGUCAUUGUUUUUAGGACUGGACAGUGAGUGAUGCUAGAAAAGUGAUGAGGUGGCAAUUAGGACUGUUGGUGUGAGAAAAUAACUUUUUU
rnacentral:lncRNA from 1 species